AUUGAACGCUGGCGGCAUGCCUUACACAUGCAAGUCGAGCGGCAGCACGGGAGCAAUCCUGGUGGCGAGUGGCGAACGGGUGAGUAAUAUAUCGGAACGUGCCCAGUCGUGGGGGAUAACGCAGCGAAAGCUGUGCUAAUACCGCAUACGAUCUACGGAUGAAAGCGGGGGAUCGCAAGACCUCGCGCGAUUGGAGCGGCCGAUAUCAGAUUAGCUAGUUGGUGAGGUAAAGGCUCACCAAGGCGACGAUCUGUAGCUGGUCUGAGAGGACGACCAGCCACACUGGAACUGGGACACGGUCCAGACUCCUACGGGAGGCAGCAGUGGGGAAUUUUGGACAAUGGGCGAAAGCCUGAUUCAGCAAUGCCGCGUGCAGGAUGAAGGCCUUCGGGUUGUAAACUGCUUUUGUACGGAACGAAACGGUGAGCUCUAAUACAGUUUGCUAAUGACGGUACCGUAAGAAUAAGCACCGGCUAACUACGUGCCAGCAGCCGCCGUAA
rnacentral:rRNA from 1 species